CUGCAGUGACUGUGCUGGGCAGGUCACCAAUGGGUGCCUCCGAGAUAGUGAGUGACAGUCUCAGAGGACCUCCCCUUAGGGGGACCGAGGGUUCCUGCUGAGGCCCUUCCAGAUCCAAUGCAAGCAAACAGUACCCGUGUGCCCAGCGUGGAGCUGGUCCGAGCCCUUGGAAAGGGUCGGCAGCGGAAACCAGCCAGGCCGGCAAGUGACAGGUACCCGGCGGCUACGUCAGCAGAAGCUGCACUGGUCUCAGGAGACACAUGGACCACGCCUCGGCUGGCUCACCACACACCGACACUAGCGAAGGCAGACUCCACACUGACCACAAAAGCUGUGGCUGCCUCUGGUUUCUGUCACUCUCAACUCCAUAACCUUACAGUGUGACACCAGUUAACUCCAGAGUCCCAAUCCCACAGGGCCCAGGCUAGCACCUCUCGCCUGCCCAGCCUGCACACCCAGCCCAGCCCCACACCCGUGUGCCCUGGCCAGGUGUGUGCCACCUCUCUUCCCUCCCACUGUCGAGUCUCCUGGACUCCCUGCCCAAGCUCCCGGGGAGACCCAGGCUCACCUCUCAGGGUCAGGGCUCAGACCAUCCCAUGGCCACGCGCCCACACUCUUCACACCACGGAAACAUCUACAUAGACACUGACGCGGCCCAACACAGGUGCCACCUCGUAGGAAAAGGAAGCCAAGGACUCUGCUGCAAGCAGGGCCCAUGACAGAUGCCAUGAUGGGCAUGACUCUCCUAAGGGGUCCUAAGAGCAUCCGUCUGCAGGAGCUCGUGGCCGCAGCCAGGGGGCGCAGUAGGUCCUGAGUCCCCCUCCAGAGGGGACUGUGCUAAGCAGCCUUGGAGAAGAUGCUAUUGGGGUUUUCACCUGCUCUGGGCUCCCGUCCUGCCCCCAAAUAAAAGCCUGUGUGAAAAGUCCCCGAAACAAACUCCUGCCUCUGAGAUUCAAGACCCUGACUGCCUGGCUGGGCACCUUGAUGCUGGCUCCACCCUG